rnacentral:snoRNA from 1 species
UGUGCUGGUUUAGCCACAGUGACACAUUUGACUUAAAAAUUUUGUGCAGACUGCUAGAAAUCAGCUAUAUUAAUCUCAUAAUUUUAGGAACCAUUGAUAAAAUUCGUUAAAAUUUUUCUUAGUGGGCCGUAUUUAUGAAUACAAUU